rnacentral:ncRNA from 1 species
UAUCUUCAGGGCGGGGCGAAAUUCCCCACCGGCGGUAAAGUCCGCGAGCGCUUGGCGCAGAAUCGGUGUGAUUCCGAUACCGACAGUAUAGUCUGGAUGGAAGAAGAU